AUACGGAGGAUGCAAGCGUUAUCCGGAUUUAUUGGGUUUAAAGGGUGCGCAGGCGGGCUGUUAAGUCAGCGGUGAAAUCUCCCGGCUCAACCGGGGAACUGCCGUUGAUACUGGCAGCCUAGAGUACAGACGGCGCCGGCGGAAUGUGUCAUGUAGCGGUGAAAUGCUUAGAUAUGCCACAGAACACCGAUCGCGAAGGCAGCUGGCGAGGCUGGGACUGACGCUCAGGCACGAAAGCGUGGGGAUCAAACAGGAUUAGAUACCCUGGUAGUCCACGCAGUAAACGAUGAGGACUUGUUGUCGGCGAUAGAAUGUCGGUGACAAAGCGAAAGCGAUAAGUCCUCCACCUGGGGAGUACGAUCGCAAGGUUGAAACUUAAAGGAAUUGACGGGG
rnacentral:rRNA from 1 species